GGCCGGGGUAUGUAGGUACUCUCGGUAAUUGUUGCAGAGACCGCCACCGUCGGCUAAUUCGUCCGCCGAGAAAUUUAUGACGGUUACCUUUUUGGGACAGAAGAUGUCUCUAAUCUCCCGCCAAAUUUACCAGCUUUAGUUGCAUUUUCCUUAAACAUAACCUGCGAUAAGGCAAUCAGAUCGUCGAUUUUGAUCAGGACAGUUAAUAAUUGGCUUAAUACUUUUUAUUGCACGUCUUUUUGAUCUAAUUCUACUUUAUACAAGCAAGAAUAAUUGAAUUGGAUCUUUAUUCGACGUCUGUAUCUGCCCAUACUAAACAUUAAUGGUGUGUGAUUUUCUGCAAUCGUCAAUUUCAAUAUUUAUAAAUCUGUACAUAGUACGUAAGCGAAGUGAGAAGUCAGCAAUUUUACGUAAGAAAGAAACGACGAGGUAACUUUGUUUGCUGGUAAAGUUCGAGAAUUUGCAUCAUCUCUGGCGAGAUUCAUUAUCAGAAAACCGGAUUUCGCUGAAACUAGUAGCGGCUUACGCAAAUUGCAUAAUUACGCAACGAUGAAAUGUUGCGUUGGCUCUAGCGCGAUCUUUUGAUGCGCUAAUUCCCUAGAUCGUGGAAUACGACGCAAUUCGAGUCGAUUUGACGUGUUUCCACUUCAAACGAAAACAUGAAAGAAGAGAGAGAACCGUAUCUUGACAGGUCUACGUGUUGGAAAUUCCAGGAACAUCAGGAAGAUUAUGUGUGGAGCACUGAUAGCUGAUAAGAGGUGGCUUAAGCUUUAAUUCAUCAUGAAGGUGAUUAAAAGUAUUUCUAUAUUUAACUCGCCGAUGAGUGGGCGUGCUGUUGUAUCAAUAUAAUCAAUGCUAGCAGGAUGAAUGUCAAUCCAACGGCCUGAGAUACUGUAUCACUUCCGGAUCAAUUUCGAUAAGCGCUCGUCGAUGAUGGCAAAGGAUCAUUCGCGCGAGGGGAAAAAAAAAAAGAGGGAGUCGUUAAGUCCGAUCACGAAAUACCCGAUUGAGGCGCGGUACGAACUAUGGUUCGUGCGCGCCCCUGCUAAAGCUUCGAAGACCCGAACAAAUAAAUGCUGAAAAGAGGAACAAAACCGACAUUAUGUGGCAUUAACAUACAAAGUAUGUCAGACCCGCGGUCCGCAGGCAUAACAUAGUAUCGCGGCGUUCGCAUACCCCGCCCGCUUUACAGUGACCAGCAGGAACAGAGAAAAGCAUUGGAAAGAGACCGAUCCCGAAAGCGGUGUGUAAGAAGGAGCGACGGUUAAAGGGAACGAAGGAGACGGGAGAAAGAGAGGAAGAGGGAAGAAACGAGUGUCGAAUGUGUUCGAGUAAAGGCGAUAGAUCGUACGCUGGAUAGAGAGGGCAGAAUGAUGAACGCAGAAAGGUGUGCGUGCUGUGGAAAAGGAGCGAGGAAGAGAACGAAGGAGAACGAGGGUGAAGAAGGAAGGGAGAGCGAGAGAAAGAACUGAAAGAGCGGAGGGAAGCGUUUACGCUAUCCGCAGUCCCCCGAGGUCCAGUCCCAUUCCGUCCCGUCCCGUCCCAUCCCAUCUCAUCGCAUCCCAUCCCAUUCCAUCCCAUCCUAUCGUUUCGUUGUCCCCGUGUGCCACGCGGUGCGGCUUAACGCAAAAGGGCCCACAGAGCGGGAGCAGAGUAACAGAACGCACAGGAAAGGGAAAGAUCCGAAGGCAGCAGCAUGCCGGUGGCAAAACGAAAAAUCGGCCCGCAUAUAUCGAGCUGGCCUGCGACGACGACGACGACGACGACGACGACGACGACGAUCGCUGCGACGGCGGCGGCGGCUACGACGACGAAGGUGGGACACACACAUAAAACCAAGGAUUCCUUGUGUUCCUGCUGCUUAGUCGACUCCCGAUCGGCUACCGCUAGCGAUGGUUACAAACUAGAGUUGAAUACGAGACUUUGAAUAAAGAAUCACACGAUUUCAGAUA